UUGUAUGCAGUAAGGCUUGGACAGAGUGCGGAGGCUUGGACUUGGGACAACCCUGAGUCCUGUUCUUCUAGUUCCCUGUGACCUUGCACAAGGCCCUGGAAUCUUUGAGUCAUGCCUUCAGAAGUUGUGAUGUCUGUGUCUGGGGCUGUACUCCUUACAUGUUGGUCAUGGGACGAACCAGAUGCUCAGGCUCCAGUGUAGCAUCUACGCCGAAUUUGGAGUUCCUGGUCCAGAGAUGGCGCAGGAGGCUGCUGGCAGUAACACCGUCACAGAGCCCGGAGACAUGCAGCCUCCCAAGAGGAAAGAGAGGUGUAGGAGAUGCUGUGAGCUGCCACCAGGAGAAGCAAGAUGUGAAAAUACC